CCCCGCCAUCACACACCACCACCACCACGUCACAGAUCCACCCCAAUCACCGUCAACCACCCCCGCCAUCACACGCCACAACACACCACCACCACGUCACAGAUCCACCCCCAUCUCCACCUCUUUCUAUAUAUACUCCUCAUAAUUUACCCUAACUCAGCCGCAACUACUCCUUUCCCCUUUCUCUCUCUACAAACCCCCAAUUCUUCAUUUCACAAACCCUAAUUACUCCUUCAAUUUCUGUUCUGUUUCAUCUUACCCGCCAAAAAAAGAAUGUGCGCCCUGCACCCAAAUCUUUUCUUGGACAAACCCUUUUCAUCAUUUGACCUGAAUCUGGAGUAUGACCCUAGAUCAAAUCAGAUCAGGUUCAAGAAAAAAAUCAAGAAAAUGAUAAAGAAAAUGAUCAUGAAAAUGGGUAUGUGGAUGAAGAGGAAAAUGAAGAAGAAGAAGAUGGGAUUUUGUGUGCAGUAUGUCAAAGCACAGAUGGGGAUGCAAAAGACCCAAUUGUAUUUUGUGAUGGGUGUGAUCUAAUGGUGCACACCACUUGUUAUGGUGCACCACUCAAAGAAUUAAAUAUGAUUUUAGGUUUUGAUGAAUACCCAUUUGAUGAAGCGACCAAAUUGAAGAAAUGGAGGAGACGAUUAGGGUCAACUCGUUGCUUGUGAUGAAGAACAGAUUGUAAGGCAUUUGGAUUUAGGUUAUUGAGGAGAUUUGGGGAUGAAUUGAGGAGGUGGGGCCAAUUGCGGUUUUUGAGAAUUGUUGUGAUUUCAUUGACUGUUUUGUCGUUGGUUCCUGAGGUGUUUGUUGACGAUUUUCUUGAGUCAAAUGAUCAACACUUCACAGAAACAAAGUUAUAACUUCAAUCAAUGGCGAUUGAUGUUUGUUCUUUGAAGCUUGGACUGCUGAUGGAAAUAAUUGAAUCCGCUACAUCUCUUCUUCACCGAUUCAUCAUUGAUAAUCAAAGAUAUGACUGAUGAAGGUGGGAACCCGACCUGGAAGAACCGAAUUGAAAGUUGGAAAGAUAAGAAGAAUAAGAAGAAAAGGGGGCGGUAAGGUUGCUAAAGAAGUUCAAGUGCCCGUAGAUCAACAUAUUGAAGAAAAGCAGCAAUCAGCAGACCCGAAUGCAAUGCAACCACUUUCACAAAUAAUUCCAAUUCUGAAAAGCCAAAUCGCACCCUACCGGACUGUUUUGAGCCCUACACUUCCAAUAUCUACAGCCGUCGGGUUUUAAGUGGUGAGUUUGUUGUGCUGAACGAGCAUUUGCUGCAUGAUUUUAACUGAGAUGGUUCUUUGGUCACCCACCCUCAAGAACCAGAUCAUAUAUGGUUCAAGUCAGCGAUGGAGACAGUGGAUUCCAGCUUGCUUUUAUGAUUAUGUGAUGCCACCCAUAACCCUAAUAUCCAUUAAUGUUAUUAUAUUUCUGUAGUGCGUGCAGUUGUUUUUGGAUUUCAUAUGCAAGUGUUCUAUUUGCAUCCUCUGGUUAGCUUGCUGAAUCAAAUCACUUUAACAAAAGUGGAUCAUUAGUUUGUCUAAGAAUCAAAAACUGAUUAUUGCAACUACAAGUCACAAUAAUUCCUUCCGGCGCGUACACAACUACCACCAGCAAAGCAAAACUGAAAAUGAGAAGUCUACGGGUGACAUCUAGAGUUGAUUUUGUUGUCUUAAGGUGGUUAUAAGGGUGUGCACCGCGAGUUCCAGGCAUUUUCAACCAAAAUAUUUAAUUAUUUUUCAACUAAUCAUCAGAGUGUUCAAAUGUUGUGGUGUAUUACCAAUUUAUUAAUGAUCAUGGUGUGAUCUCUAUAAUCUUGGAGUACAUGGAUGGGGGAUUUUUGGCUGAUUUUCUAAAAAAAAUGUUAUAUCAAUUCUUGAACCUUACCUUAUCUUGUAGUCGUCUCUAAGCAGGUCAGAAAUCUGCAUUUUUUGUUUCAAAUGUGUGUUUAAUAGGCGUUAAAAAAAUUACCUUCCAUUUUUCCUGUAGGGACACUUUUGUCCAAAAAAGCUGUAGGGACACUUUUGUCCGAAAAAGAUUGGAGCGUUAUGAGUAAUCAAUAUAUACUUUUGUAGGUUUGCUCUCUGAAGUAAAAGAUACCCACAACAAGCUCGAAAGACUUAUAAACAUGCUUAACACGUGGAUCCGGCUGAUGUGCAGAGAUUUGUUUCCAUAGCUUGUGUGUUUAGGAAGCUCGGUGGCCAGUCUGAACCCCUGGCCUGAAGCUUCUUGAACAAGGGGUUACGGGUCGAUAGGAUGCACUCUUUAGAUUGGUAUAAUCUAGGCAUACUGCUUAGAGAUGGGAGCUCAAUGGCCCUAAGACGUAAAAAACAGUCUGCUAUUGGAUUUGGAAGAUGCGAUUGCAUAUUCAGACCAGAUGGGACAUUGCAUGUUCCUGAAUUUUCAGGUUCCAACAAAUCCGACUACGGUGUUGGCUAUUAAGAUUACGAUGGUUGUGGUAUCCUGUACAAUGGGGUUAGGGUUUCACAUUUGAUUUUAAUAUGUCUACAUCACAAAUCAGCAAUGCAAUUACGUACACAGGUUUCUAGAAUGUGAGGAUAUAUAAUUAUUAGGUACCGAACCUUAUCCACUUUCAUGCGCCCUCUGUUGGAAAUGAAUCGUGGAAGCUGGCAACUGAUGCUGCUUAUGGUAACCCGCUCAACCUGUUUGACCCAUCUCAUUUAGUUAAGAUUUAAAUUUGGCUAUUUUCCAGCUAGAUCCGUAAUAUCUCCGGAUAGGAUUUUGUACCUAGGUUGUUUUUCAUGACCAAUUUACUUUUAAAAGUUGAUCGAAACUCGCUUUCUUACUUCCAAAUGACAGGUUAACAGUUUUUUUUUUCAAAAUAGACGAUCCUCAUGCUUUGUUGUAAACACUUUUUAGGUAGCUAUAGCCUAUAGGUGUUGGCUAGCAUCUUAUGUGUGUACAUAAAGUGUAAAUGGGCUGCUUGUGAAUAUUGUAACAAACCCAUAUGAAGCCCACAAAACAUACACUAUAAUAGCAUUGAAAGAAGACUAGGUCGUUAAGAUUUGAUUUUUGAUUGCAAGAGUAAUCAUCUGAAAUUCUUGUAGACUUUGUGAGUCAACUAAUUGCUAGCUUGAUUAUGGUUUUUUGUUGUAGUGUUUAAGAGAUCGUCUUGUGAUGAGUUUUUGAAAUUUUGGUUUGAGAAAUUUAGUGUAGAAAUUUGAACUUUGAACGUCAAGAACAAGAUGCUCAACUGAUAGCAGGAUUCUGGAGUAGUAGGCAAGGUAUUUGCAGAGAGAAGCUGCAAGACCAACUAAAAGGAAGAAGACGAUAGAAAUAGAAGGCGCUAAAACGAAAAGCCUCUAAACCCUAAUUUCAAUUUCAACUCUCUGCCUCUUCACACGCUUCUUUUAUUCCUUCCUUUUCUCUCAACUGUAUCAUUCAACUUGGAUCAUUCAUGAAGACGAAGAAGGCGUUCCGCCUGUUACGCUCUCGAUCCUGCGGAUGCUCUUACGUGAUCCUCAUGUGGUUAAAAGAGGUCCAUUUCACGUUUUUGUUUGAGGUGAAGAGGUCAGAUUUAUGCUUCAGUUUGACUAUAUACUGGUGCUAAAACUUUGAUCCAUUUGGCGUGGGGGCUCAGUUGCUACCUUUAUGUUCGGUAUUGCAUCUACUACUUUUCAAGGUCAAACAUGGACAGGGCUUGGAUUUGCAAUAAACGGAUUGAUGAACUAAUGUGUCGAAACUAUGAUUUUGUUUUUUCAAUCGAUUUUAUCAGAAUCCUUUUGGAGUCAUGGAGAAGAUGUCCCAUUGAAAGAUGCAUUACUGAUUUGUUGAGCUUGAACAUGCUAUAAACCCGAACUUGCUAUUCUAUCCUAAAAGAUGCCCCCAUCCAAGGUUUCGUGUUUGGCUGAAUUCUAGAAGUUGGAGAGACUAGACCUCACCUUCAAUAAUCUGUUGUCACACGAGAUUAAUGGAUGUUCAAGCAAAGAAGAAGGCGCUGUAUCGUGCUAAAUUGAAAGCACAAAACCAGGACAAACGUAUUGAUUCUCCUCUUGUAAGGUUAACUAUUUGAGGUGUGGCAGUGAAUCGACCUUUUCAUAGUUGUUGAUGUUGGAGGUUAAUGGUCAAACUGCAACAUCUUAUUGGCUGCAUUAUCGGCCUGUUGGAAUUUAAUGGUUAACGGAUGUCAAACAAGUCCUGCAACCAAAAGAUUAGACACAUUAGUUAGAAUGAUGGCGGCGGUUAGCGUUUCUUCAAGCUAUUGAUAGCGGCUGUUGUUGUUGCAAUUCGGAGAAGAAUCAACUACUAAUCCAGUUUGUACUUUCGUAUCUUGCUAAGAUGUUUCCUGGUGAAGGUUAGUUUUUGUUUUACAAUGUUCAUCUCUAUGAUGUCAUUAAUACUGAUUGCCAUACUAGAGAUUUUUGUCACUAAAUAGAUUCACAUGUUAGCAAUUGUGUAGACUUUGACUUUAAAGGUCAAUCAAGCUACUUUUUAGAUACAAAUAUGAUAUGAAUUUUGUUAGACAUCAGUUUGUAGUUUGUACUCAUGCAUCCUAGAAUAGGAUCCACAUACAAUUUUUGUUAGGAUGCAAUCAGAUAGGAGGGUAUAGUGGAUUGGGUAACGGGUCAAACACGGUUGUGUUACAAAAAGUCGUUUUAGAGAAAUAUUUUUGAAAGUUUUUUAGACCAACGAGUUUCGUUCACAAAUUUGGGUAUUGAUUUCGAGUGGAAUAGUUGGUGUCCAAUCAAGAUUAAUUUCUUGGUUUGGAGGCUGAUUCAAGACCGGAUUCCUACUGCGGUCGCUCUUGAAAGAAGAAAUGUUUAUUUGCCUUGCACCCUGUGUAAGCUAUGCAAUGAAGACGAAGAAACGGCACUCCAUACAAAUAUGUGUACAAAGAUUUAAAAACAAUAUAAAGCAAGAUUAGCUAUUGAUAUAAAGGAAAGAAAGGAUAUCAAAGUCUUAAAGAUGUCUUACCCAAGCAAAUCAUGCUUUUCAUUACCAUUAAAUUUAAUGCACUCUAUCCUGAUAUGUAUUUUGUGAGACUGAAAGGGAUCAUAAUAUUGUUGGACUAAUCAUGUUUGUUUUGCAUAUGAAACGAGUUGGUGCAAAAGGAAACUUCGCGUACAAGGGUCUACAAUUCAGUGUAGUUGCUUCCGUGGUAACCCAGCAACAUGCAUUCUUGAAAGUUUGAACGGGUCAGGAGCGUCGAAACAGAGGAAAAUAAUUGUAUAUGGGGUAUUCCUCAAAACAUGUUGGAGAAUUUAGCAAUGCAGAAACGAUAAAGUGUUCAAAGGAGUGGCUACUUUAGUUAGCAAGGUGGUGGAGGAAGUAAAUGAAACAUCGUAUGCUUGGAUCCAGCACAUGUCAAAGAUUAUGAGUAUUUCGUGGAGUGAUUGGCGCAACUUUAAUUUAUCGUUUAGUGUCAUUUUUUUGUAUUCUUUUUGUGAUGUAACUCUGCUAGACUAUGUUUUGUUCUUGCUGUUCAGGUCUCCCUUAGUUCCUUGCUAAAUGGAUGUGUUUGGCUGGAUUAAUAAAGGUUUUCUUUGUUGUUUUUCUUUUACUUUUAAAUAUUAACUUCUAUUGUAACCUUAAUUACGACAUUGUAUUAGUUAUUAAUUAUAAAUUCCAAAAAUUAUAGGUACGUUAUUGUGGUAAAAUUAGAGCUAUCUAACCAAAUAUUUUAGCUAUUACAUUAUUUGUCUCAUUGUAGUUUACUAAUUUAUUAUUACUUCAACGGUUAUUUAAUUCAAACGAUUACUUCAAUAAAUUAAACUUAUUCAUUUGUGUUUUAGUCCACCCGCGAACCUCGCGGGUUCUUAAACUAGUUUAUUAUAUAGCAAUAGCGAACGACUCUUACAGAAUUUACGCCCCCUAUGGUAAAAUUUCCUAGGUCCGCCACUGAUAGGCACAAUGAGGGAGGAAGUUAUGGCGUGUUUUUGAUGAUUAUAUAAAUUUUAGUUUGAUAUUUUUUUGUUUUACAUGACCCGACCCGAACUGAAUUUUUAUUUAUAUAUCUAGGCGGCCUAAAAUUUUUAAAAAUAUUCCGCACCCCUAUGGAAAAAUUCCUGGGUCCGCCACUGAUUGGAUGGACCCGAUAAAGAACCAAAUAGAGAGUUUUUUCUGCUUCAAGGUGUUCGUUAUGUAUUUUUUAUAUCUUUAGGCAUUGCAAAAUGGGUGUGUUAGGCAAGUUCGACCGCUCACCAUUUUUCCUCUAUAUUUGUUUAUACGCAUAUUUCAGUUUUCUUGGAAAAGAAAUAUAUAUUUUGUUGUUUGACCGUCUGUUUUAUCUUUUUAUACAAACCUGAGUAAGAAGAUUGAAGGGGAGGAAGCUGCAAAUCGUGCUUCAUCGUUGCCUAUUUUGCUAUGUCAUGGUAAAGAUUGAGAAGUCAUUGCACGGGAUGCGUGCAGAAUCUGCAGAGGCAAAGGUUGCGGCUGAAGUUAAAUUAGUUGAUGCAUGGACUAUGAUGGAUGAUGCCAUAAAGAGGAUGACAGAAGCCAAUUCAAAGAUGCAAGCUGCGGAAUCUACAAAGA